CUCAACCGAAGGUCCAUGGUGGGGAAAUAACUCUACUCAAGGUCCAUGGUGGGGAAACAACUCAACCGAAGGUCCAUGGUGGGGAAACAACUCUACUGAGGGGCCCAACUGGAACAGCACCACUCUUGGCCCC
rnacentral:misc_RNA from 1 species